GACGUAGGAUGCGAGCGUUGUCCGGAUUUAUUGGGCGUAAAGAGUUCGUAGGUGGUUCGUUAAGUCUGGUGUAAAAGACUGGGGCUCAACCCUGGGAUCGCACUGGAUACUGGCGGACUUGAGUGUGGUAGAGGCAAGUGGAAUUCCCAGUGUAGCGGUGAAAUGCGUAGAUAUCGGGAGGAACACCAAUGGCGAAGGCAGCUCUCUGGGACGGUACUGACGCUGAGACGCGAAAGCGUGGGGAGCGAACAGG
rnacentral:rRNA from 1 species